rnacentral:rRNA from 1 species
ACCAGACUCCUACGGGAGGCAGCAGUGGGGGAUAUUGCACAAUGGGGGGAACCCUGAUGCAGCGACGCCGCGUGGGUGAGGAAGUACCCCGGUAUGUAAAGCCCUUUCGGCAGGGAAGAAAAUGACGGUACCUGAAGAAGAAGCCCCGGCUAACUACGUGCCAGCAGCCGCGGUAAUACGUAGGGGGCAAGCGUUAUCCGGAUUUACUGGGUGUAAAGGGGGCGCAGACGGCGAUGCAAGCCAGGAGUGAAAGCCCGGGGCCCAACCCCGGGACUGCUCUUGGAACUGCGUGGCUGGAGUGCAGGAGGGGCAGGCGGAAUUCCUGGUGUAGCGGUGAAAUGCGUAGAUAUCAGGAGGAACACCGGCGGCGAAGGCGGCCUGCUGGACUGAAACUGACGUUGAGGCUCGAAAGCGUGGGGAGCAAACAGGAUUAGAUACCCCGGUAGU